AUGUCCGAAUAUGAUCAAUUAAACUUCAAACAAAUUUUAGAAGCGAUUUUCACCUUGUUUACACAUUCCGUACAUCAACAUAUAAUUAAACCAAUAUUGUACGAAAAUGAUUUCAACAAAUACAAACGGAUGUGGAAGCACACCUUUUGGUUCAACUAUUAUCGCUUAAAAAUUAUGAACAAGUUACAAACAAUGAAACCGUACCAGAUGUCUUAA